GACAGAGGGUGCAAACGUUGUUCGGAAUUACUGGGCGUAAAGCGCGUGUAGGCGGCCAUGCAAGUCGGAUGUGAAAGCCCUCGGCUCAACCGGGGAAGUGCACUCGAAACUGCAAGGCUAGAGUCUCGGAGAGGAUCGUGGAAUUCUCGGUGUAGAGGUGAAAUUCGUAGAUAUCGAGAGGAACACCGGUGGCGAAGGCGGCGAUCUGGACGAUGACUGACGCUGAGACGCGAAAGCGUGGGGAGCGAACCGG
rnacentral:rRNA from 1 species